CCUACGGGUGGCAGCAGUGGGGAAUAUUGGACAAUGGGCGAAAGCCUGAUCCAGCCAUGCCGCGUGUGUGAAGAAGGCCUUCGGGUUGUAAAGCACUUUCAGUGGGGAAGAAAGCCUUGGGGCUAAUACCCUCGAGGAAGGACAUCACCCACAGAAGAAGCACCGGCUAACUCCGUGCCAGCAGCCGCGGUAAUACGGAGGGUGCGAGCGUUAAUCGGAAUUACUGGGCGUAAGCGCGCGUAGGCGGUCUGAUAAGCCGGUUGUGAAAGCCCCGGGCUCAACCUGGGAACGGCAUCCGGAACUGUCAGGCUAGAGUGCAGGAGAGGAAGGUAGAAUUCCCGGUGUAGCGGUGAAAUGCGUAGAGAUCGGGAGGAAUACCAGUGGCGAAGGCGGCCUUCUGGACUGACACUGACGCUGAGGUGCGAAAGCGUGGGUAGCAAACAGGAUUAGAUACCCCGGUAGUC
rnacentral:rRNA from 1 species